rnacentral:lncRNA from 1 species
CUCGCAGCUUCGCCAGAAGCUACGAAGGGGGGCCUCGCCCCGGGAAGGGGAGAGUGGCCGAGUGGUUAAAAGCGACAGACUGUAAAUCUGUUGAAGUUUUUCUACGUAGGUUCGAAUCCUGCCUCUCCCACUUGUUGUAGACUUCAGAGAAGAGAAAAGAGGCAUUCGUCAGCGUAGGAAGGCCAACCGAGCGAAGCUCCUUUGGCCGUUCCGUGAAGUUCAAUUGUAUCGUAUGUUAGUUAGAGAGGUUGGCGAACUACUAUGAUCUAUAGAUUCCCUAUCCAUAUCGAAUCCCAACGAGAAUAGAAGCGAGUAGCUUCCGGCUUGGCUUGUAGUCGUAGUCUUUUAGCUUAUAUAGUCGUCGGCCUUCCUACACGCACGCGCCCGCCAGAAUGCCUCCUUGGUUCGGUAUGAAGCCAAGCCGAUACAUACGAUAGGCGAAGGAAAGACCCCUAUUUCAUAGCGCCUGGGGAACGCAAGUUUGAUCGAGGAUUGGAGAGGAGAGGUGGAAGAAAAGGCUCGGGAUGAAUUUAGGAGUCUUUGUGCGAGCCGUAUGCGGUGAGAGUCGCACGUACGGUAACGAGGGGGGUUCGUGUCUAUACGUGUAGUGUGGUGGUUGGGCCUACCCACCCUAU